AAGGAAUGGCGCAUUAGAAAGAGAAUACUGUAAUGAACUGUUUUUCAUACCACUCCAGGUGGCGUUUUACAUAUAAACAUUACUCAAUGGACUGCGAACGAGACUUGUAUAACAAAUCUCAAGAUAGACAGUGUAUAUUUAAAUUGGACCUCAUUGGAAAUAUGUUGGAAUCCGGCCUAAUGGGCGUUCCUGAUACUCAUUACGUGAUAUAGACAAAGAAGCCACAACUAUCAGGAAAGAAUGUCCGGACUCAAUCGUGAAGGGCAACAGAACUUACCAAUUAUUCAUAGAUAGCCAAAAAUUGUGUCACUCAUCAAGCUUCCUGCAAAAAUUCUGGAAAUGAAAUUAAUUAAUAUAUAGUGUAAAUUUCAUUUUUUAAACGUUUUUCUAGUUCUCUGCAAUAAUCUAAAAAAUAAUGCAAGUAGUAAUUCUUGUAGGCUUUAUGUUUAUUAAUAUUGCAUUAUUACUGCUAAUGUUUAUCUUAUUAAUAGAAAAAGUAACCCGUUUGUUGAAAGAAUAUAGACAUGUAAGAUAAUAAGAUAUAACAUUUUGAGGAUUAAAAUCACAUUUAUUGAUUUUUGCCGGAUGUACAUGAAAUAGGCUAGGCCUACAGUAUAUAAAUAUAACCGACGUCAUUUCCUGUGUUGUAAAAUUCGACAGCACCUUGCUCUAAAAAGUUUCGUAAUUUGUUGGUGUCAUGUGAAUAUAUUUGGAAGAGUGUUUGUAAGAUAUAGAAGCCUGUAAUAAUGUUA